rnacentral:misc_RNA from 1 species
CUGGUCAGUGGGAAUCCGCUCCAUCCCCACUGCACUCCAAAGGCCGUGGCUGCGUCGGAAUCGUCUCCAGAGAGCGAAUGGGGUGGUGCUUCGUCCAUCUUGGGAGGGGGCUGCGCACACAUCCACUUCCAUCUCUCCCUUACAGGGUCUUGUGCUGUGCUCUUGGAUCUCUCCGCUCUUUUCCUUCUCCUUGAGGAUGCGAAAAAGUGCCUUGCCCUCUCGUAAGGGGGGCAAGUCGCAGGUAUUUUUUCCGGACGGCUCCCGCCCGCAGUGACGUACGGUCGUAUAUAUGCGUGUGGGGCGCGCUAGCUCUCUCGCUCUCCUCCUUGCUUUGAGGAGGAUGCCAACUGGUUUUACUACCUUAUCUCUGAGUUCCAGUCAGCCCCACCCCGUGCCCCGCCCUCAUCGUGCCCGCCGCCGAGGUUCGGCAUGCUGGGUAAAGGAAUAGUGAGGGGGAUCUCUUGCAUUUUCGUAGAGUUCAUCCAAAGGAUAAGCAGCAGCGCUGUAGGGGAGGGGCACUGAAGCCGGCUUUCCUCCUGCCUCUCGACACCCGACACCUUUGCUAAAGCCGCCCAUAACAGGCCAGAAAACGGGGGAUGGAACCCCGCAAGCCGAUGUGCUCCAUCUGCUCUGCUCUCCUCUGAUCUUUCCUAUCUGUUGCUCUCUCUGAUCUCACCCUAG